UAACAGCUAAAGCUCGUUCAGCACACGGUCAAAUGCAGCGAACACACCUCUGCUGUCUCCCACUGGAACACCUCGCCCAUCAGCAUCUACCGAAGACAACUUUCAGUCCCCAUUGUGCUGUACGGCCCACUCAAGUUCACCUGAUGAGUGCCAUUGCUUGGUGGAAUACAAACCUGAUCUCAGACGCCGUGUUUGCCGCCAAAGGACGGAACUACAGAAGCGCCUCAACACCUGCUGCUUCUAUUCGGAGAGACUGUGGACGACAACGUCCGGGGCCCUGCCAAUGUCCCUUCUGACGAGCUGCUGGGGUUGGAUACCCGUUCAGAUGGAGCACGGGUAAGGAGGAGGUUCAGCAUGGGCAGCCAUGAUCCAGAUCCAGAGGCGUACCAGAGCGACGAGGAGGCUCACUCCCAGCGUUCACCCUCUGGUCUCUCCCAAAACCUGCUUCAGGGCUUCCAAAGACUGGAAAAGUUUUGCUGUGCUAUAAAUCCCCCCGACAGAGGACAAGCUGACUCUUUCCGCUGAGCAGAGGAACACGGUCCUUGAAGUGAAGUGGAGGAGCAUGAGAAGCAGUUCAACCAGCUGUACAGAGCUCACUGGAGCAUCUGCCUCCACUGCAGCACAAAUAGAGAACAUCUGGUUGAUGUUGUUGUGAUCCAGAGGCUACCGAUGGAUAAGUGCAAAGUCCAGCUCAACAAGACGUCAGUGCUCAGCUCUACAGGCUCAUCUACACGCUGGUUAAACUGUUGUUUGAACAACAGCUGUUUACACUGUGCAUAUAUCCUGUAAAAAAGGUGCAGCUGUAUUGCAUCGUAAAUAAACUGUGACACUUGACAAACAGAGUUGUGAAUAAGCAAAGCACUUACUGAUCAUAGCUAUGCCCCGACCCAUUUUGCUGGCAACACCGUCAAUAUGUUCAGACAAACAGCUACACCCAUGUUUGGUAUUAAAUAGUGUAGAAAUUGUAAUUGGUAGACAUUAGGUUGGCAAUUCCUACCUUUUUUCCUCAUUUAUUGUAUUUAAAUGCAGUAAAGACUAAAAGUCUAUUUCUAAUUUGCAAAUUAAAUCAGCCAUUCAAUAUUGUACAGUGUAUUGAUAAGAUAGGCCUUUACUAUAAUGUUUACAGUCACCACACAGUGUUUCCCCUGGAGGCGAACUGACUGUCGGAGGGGGGCGGGUCAAUCAGAGAGUAAGUGCAUCAUUAAAACACGAAACCAAAUCCUUUUCUCUGUUUCUUUAACUGCAAUCAAACCGGAAGAACUUCUGCACUUUCUGAUAUAGCAACAUUCAAAAAAGGUAAUAAAUAAAUUCACUGUAGAACAGGGGUAUUCAACUAAAAUGUAAAUAGGUCCAGUUAGAGAACAUUUCUAGAAGCAAAGGUCCAGAAGAUCAUCAUGUGACUGCUUAGUGUGAUUAAAUAGAGGAAAAGAGUUGGAUCAACAUCUGCAUGUAAUCAAUACACGACUAACAAAUCGAAUGAAUUCAGCAUGAUUCAAAGACUUUAAAUAUUUAUUGUCACGUAACAAAGAACUAAACAUAUAUGUGUGACUGCAAAUAUAAAUAAUGUUUUCUCAAUUAACUAAAUGAAAGUAGGGGGUCUAUUUAAAAAAAUACAAUUUCUCCAUGUUUAAAUAAAGUGAUUCAAUAAGAAGAAAUAAAAUAACGGGAAGUAAAGCUUGAUUUUGAAGCUUUUCUGCUUCACAUUUAGACUCGACAGUCUCAGGAAAUUAUCUAUAAUAAAUCCAAACACAUUAAAAAAAUGUAACAGUCCACCACUUUUUGGGCAAGAAAGAUAAUUGAGCUCUAGUUUGUCCUGCCAGGAUUUUAACUCUGGGCAUGAAUGCAUCAGGGCCAUUCUCCACCUCACAUGGAGGAGCUCAUUGUGUCUCACUCGUCUUUUUCUCAAAUUUUGCAAUCUUUCUUUUUCUUCCUACCGUUUUUUUUAUUUGUACUUGGCCGCUACCUCUCUCCUAUGUCUGCAGUAUUGAGACAAUAUUAUCUAUGAAGGUAGAUUUGUGUCUUUAUUAUGCAAACCAAAAAAAAUGUUUCGAGGGCAAACUUCUUGCAU